rnacentral:rRNA from 1 species
GGGGGUCAUCCCGACUUACCAACCCGAUGCAAACUGCGAAUACCGGAGAAUGUUAUCACGGGAGACACACGGCGGGUGCUAACGUCCGUCGUGAAGAGGGAAACAACCCAGACCGCCAGCUAAGGUCCCAAAGUCAUGGUUAAGUGGGAAACGAUGUGGGAAGGCCCAGACAGCCAGGAUGUUGGCUUAGAAGCAGCCAUCAUUUAAAGAAAGCGUAAUAGCUCACUGGUCGAGUCGGCCUGCGCGGAAGAUGUAACGGGGCUAAACCAUGCACCGAAGCUGCGGCAGCGACGCUGAUGCGUUGUUGGGUAGGGGAGCGUUCUGUAAGCCUGUGAAGGUGUGCUGUGAGGCAUGCUGGAGGUAUCAGAAGUGCGAAUGCUGACAUAAGUAACGAUAAAGCGGGUGAAAAGCCCGCUCGCCGGAAGACCAAGGGUUCCUGUCCAACGUUAAUCGGGGCAGGGUGAGUCGACCCCUAAGGCGAGGCCGAAAGGCGUAGUCGAUGGGAAACAGGUUAAUAUUCCUGUACUUGGUGUUACUGCGAAGGGGGGACGGAGAAGGCUAUGUUGGCCGGG